CACACGGUGGUGCUGCAGCUGGCCGAGAAAAAGGGAUUUGUGACAGUCAGCGAGAUCCGGGACAGCCUCAAGUGGGAGACGGAGAGGGCGAAGCAGGUGCUGGAUCACCUUCUGAAGGAGGGCAUGGCCUGGCUGGUUCCCAGUGCCAUU